rnacentral:rRNA from 1 species
GAUGAACGCUGGCGGCGUGCCUAAUACAUGCAAGUCGAGCGAACAGACGAGGAGCUUGCUCCUCUGACGUUAGCGGCGGACGGGUAGUAACACGUGGAUAACCUACCUAUAAGACUGGGAUAACUUCGGGAAACCGGAGCUAAUACCGGAGAAUAUAUUGAACCGCAUGGUUCAAUAGUGAAAGACGGUUUUGCUGGCACUUAUAGAUGGAUCCGCGCCGCAUUAGCUAGUUGGUAAGGUAACGGCUUACCAAGGCAACGAUGCGUAGCCGACCUGAGAGGGUGAUCGGCCACACUGGAACUGAGACACGGUCCAGACUCCUACGGGAGGCAGCAGUAGGGAAUCUUCCGCAAUGGGCGAAAGCUUGACGGAGCAACGCCGCGUGAGUGAUGAAGGUCUUCGGAUCGUAAAACUCUGUUAUUAGGGAAGAACAAAUGUGUAAGUAACUAUGCACGUCUUGACGGUACCUAAUCAGAAAGCCACGGCUAACUACGUG